UGCCAAAGUGAGUGUGGACAUCCGUGAGAAGGCAUAGAACAUAGCCAGGAGUCAAAGACUGGGAAGAGGAGAAGGACCUAGAAGAAAACUUAAUGGCAUCAACAUAGGAAGGAAAGAAGGAACAAUGCAGAGAAGGUUUGCAUGUAAUACUGGAAGAUACUUAGACAUUUCAGCAAGAAAAAUGGGCUUAGGGGUGAUACAGUCUGGAAAGUGGAAGAAAAUAAUGUAACUGUAAUGUCUUCCGCUGUGAAGAACCUUUCUUUUUCUGAGUUCCCUGGAUAGGAAGCAGCAAAUUAGUAAAUCCUCAAAAUGAAUUUUGAAAGUAACCACACUUUCUGCUCUGAGAGAAAAGUUUAAAAUGUCUACCAUAGUUUUUGUAAAGAAAGGGGAAAUGUGCCGGAGGGCUGAAAGUUCUUACGACCAAGUUAUAAACCUUUGAAAAUAGGAUUUUAUAAUGGAAAUGCAGAGAUCAUUAACUAUUGUAAGCACCUCUAAGAAUGACACCUCUAUAGUAAAUUACAUUCAAAUUAAUAUAAAACUGUAAAGAUUCCCUGACAGCUUUGAUUAUGUAAGUUGAUUUCAGUAGUUAAAUGUUGACUUUCUAUAAUGUAUUCUCCAAAUAUUAUACUGAAUGCUGCAUCAUAUAUAACAAUUACUAUGUCACAGUGCUAUUUUGUGUAAAUUAAAUUAUUGACAGCAAUAUAAUUUUGUAUUCACUUUAUUAUUUUGAUUCAUUUUUCUGUCAAAAUAUACAAUGACUCUUCACUAGAUUUAGAAACCAGAAAAACUCUUUAGAUUGUGAAGUAUUAUUCUACAUACAUUAUUUUUCCUUUGCCUGUAAUGAGGUUGGGGGAUAGAAAGGGAAGCAACAUUUCUUUCCUUCUCUGACACUGUGUGUGUUUUUUGACAUGUUGUCAACUUUAAAUCAUAUUACAGUAAGCGUGCUUAUUAGAAGGCCUGCAAAGUCCAUGUCAGGCCUGGGCAGCCUAUCCAGGCAUGCUGCAGGCCUGGUGUUUUCGGUGUAAUCCAGCACAAGCACUAUCCUAAAUCACGGGACGGGGUUUAUGAUACGGUGAUUAUUCAGCCUAAAUUUAAGGAACGUCUGUUUUACAUCACAGGGUGAGUACUUCCUGUUCUUGAUAAUUUUGUAUGAAUAAAAGUGAAAAACAUCAUCUGUUUGGUGCUGCUGUCUCUUCACACCUUUUCUUCCUCUGUCCUUUGUAGGUUAUGGCAACAGGGGUUGUCCCUGCUUCCAUGUCUGGGAAGUACUUGCAGUUUGUAGUUGUAACUGCAAAUUGAUACUUGCAACAGAACACUUACAGUUUUCUCAUUAACCCUCUUCCAGAUGCACAGCCUGUCAGCUCCUCAUGACCUGCUAGAAGCUAGAGUGAGGAAAUAGGGACACCAGCUGCAUCUUCCUACUGGAUUUUGGCUCUUCUCCAGACAGGUACCCUGACCUCUGCUGUGGAGCCAGUCCAGCUAGCUUACUUCAUGUAAAGUUCAAAGUCUGCAUUAGAAAGACAUAGGCAGGCCCCAGACUGUCUAAAACAUGGUUUGGGGCAUUGUCCUACAAGGUGGUGGAAGAAAUGUGCUCCGCUGCAUUUAGACAGAAAAGAAGGCUGAGUCCAGCAUAUCACACACUGUGUGCAAGGACUAUAACUCUGGGUAUAAAAAUCCUUCCCUUCCGGGUGGUGAUAAAAAAGGCUCACAAAAUGCUCACCUUAGCUGGUCCAGACUAAGGAGGUUGGGAAAAGCCUGCUUUUCAAAUCUCAGUGGUGUUUAGUUAUGGCUUAGAUAGAGCUGAGCCUUAGACACAUCUGCAUCUGCUCAAUAAUAAAAAGCAAAGGCACAUGGGCAUUCCUGAGAGCCCGGGGAGCAGUUUGUUGACCCUGGGUGAGUGCAGACUUGUCUGUGGCCAUACAACUGUGGACUAGCUCCCUCUUCAGCAAACUGGCCUGGGUCUGUGUCCCAUGUAUUGCCCUAGGAGCCUUAAAUCCAAAGAUUAUUUUUCAGAUGCUUUUUACAGCUGUGUCAUUCAGCUCUGCUGAGCAUGUGGAAUUGAGGAGACCAAGAGGAAAACUGCAAGUUGCCAGCAUGGUGAGUAUGGGACAGGGCGUAAGAGGUAACAGGGAAGGGCUAAAUCCUCUGUGAGUUCAUCAUGGAUUUAGCAGUGUUUUCAAAUGCAUCCAAGUUCAUUUGUCUGUUGACCUGAAGUUGGAAAUAUAUAAAUAAAAUAUAUUCACUUUCUAUGGCAGCACAGAAUUGCAAAAACUUAUCUGAUACCAGUGAAAUAUGCUUAGCCAUUAAGCUUGCCUUUAAUUCAUUACGAAAUAUUAUCAUAUUCUUAUAUCCACUACAUACACCAAAUUGAGCUCAGUUUUAAAAGACAGAAGCCCAAAGAGAUACUUGGCAGUCUCUGUGGGGGAUUAGUGGCAGCGCUGACAGUAGAUGUCACAUCUUAGCCUGGAUCAUUCUUUUUUCCCUUUGCUUAGCCUCUGUUUGACAUAGCACAUUCAAGAUCUGAAGAGUGGUGGCAGUAGUAGCAGUGUGGACACAGAAAAGAAUGUUUGCUUAAAGACUGAUCUGUUUUUCUGUUAGAUGGUCUGAUUGAAAAACAUUAGAGCUGUGUCAGCCCUGCUCUCCUAAGAUAUCGGUAUCGAUACGUAUUCUGCUGGCAAACUGAAUUUAUUAACAGUUAUUGCAGAGACAAUAGUGGAAGCCCCAUGUCAUCAUGACCAUUUGUGUUAGCUGCUUUAUGAAAUCCCAGUAAGUCAUUGAUGGAUAGAAGAAUCAUUUCCUUCGGGCCUGUUGUCUAACUUCUAGCAGCCAUCCCUCUUUUGAUUGUUUAACUUGUAAGGAGAGAUCUUGUCCAUACAUCUUUCUGUGUGCAAUUUCACAUAUCUCCCUGUAUGAAGCAGUUUCACACACAAAAAAGCAUACAGCGGUACAGUUUUAAUAGAACUGGCUUCACUUGGGAGCAGACAAAUAGACUUGGGUCUUCUGGCACGGGCACAAAACACUAAGCUGUGAUGCUGAAUUUCUCAUUUGGCCUCAUUUCUUGUUUGGUUUGCCAAUGUGGGAGUUAAUUGUAUAAACACAGAAAUAUGGGGGAUAGGGAUAAAUACGUUCUGUACUCUCCUGUUUGUAUGGCUCUGCUUCUCACUAGUUUUGUUACUGCAUUGCUUACAGCAGUUUAAAGGGUGAUGAGGAACAGGUGGUGAAGAGAAGUUAAUGUGAGAGGACAUGGAGAAAUCAUGUUCCUUGAUAGGAAAUUGUUCCUCCCAGCGUAUUUCUGUUCUAUCCCAUACAAAUGGGACUCUUUAACAGUAUUCUGUCACUAUACCAGAAUAUACAACGGCAUUGAGUUCAAGUGUUAAACAAGUAUAUGCCCUGUUUCAGCUAAUUCUGGCAUCUGAGAUUCUAGGUGGCAGUCAUCCCCCUUGAUACUUAAGUGCUCAGACAUUGUGGUGAUGAGCUAGGCCUUGUCAGAAACUCGGGUUACUAACCUGGAGAGAGGAAUUUUUGCACAAAAGGAAGAUUUAAAGAUAAAACAGAGGAGACAAAAACUAAUAGCUGGUUAAGUUAUCCCAGGAGUUGGGAAAGACAAACCUGCUGGGCAGGUAUUCCCUAACAGUAUAAUUUUGAGUUUACUAGCCUGUCUUCUCCUCAAUGUAUCCUCUAUUUGUUCAAAGAAAAUCAUCUGCUCCUCUCAGUUAUUUCAAAGUAAAGUCACAAGAAUAGCUUGUUCCCACUCUAUUCCAAAUAUAGCUGUUGACAGCAAUUGCUGAGAUAAGGGGGAAGGAAAAGGAACUACCAAGGAAGAGGAAAGGCAGCAGGGGGAAGAGAGAAAGGAGAGCUGAAGAAGUUGGACAAUAGAGAGUAGAGAGACAUAAAUGAGAUGGGAGUUGGAAGAACAAGGACAAUACAUCGCAGAAAGAAAACAAAACAAAGACAGAAACAAACUCCUGCAAAUCAGGUGGAAGCAGACCAAAUACAGAAUGAAAAGCACCAUGCUCACCCUAAGGCGAAGUUUGAGUUUUAGACUUAAAAAUUAACCAAACCUCAUAUAAAAUCAUGUCCAAUUAAGACUUUUACUCAGACUUGUAGGGGUUAUAGCAUCAGAAAACUUGCACUAAUUGCCUGAAGAUGUAGCCCUACAAAUUUUGAAGCAAAACAUGUUGCUUAUUUUAAUUUCCUGUGGGAUUUAAAAAAAGUAAUAAUCCUGCUCCAAGAGAAUUUGUUGGCAGUUUCUGACAGAAAGUCAUCCAUUGGGUAACUUUGCUGAAGAGGAACCUGAACAGCCUUCUCCUCAGGAGUUCACAGUCAGGAUGGUCUUCUGGUGAGACUGGAGCACGUAGACAUGUCCUCAGGAGCAGAAAAUAAACCAUGAUAAAAACUAAGGAAAAGCCAGAAUCACACUCAGACUGACUUACCCAGCACAAAGAGCUGAGGGUUUUCAAGGCUCAAGGCAGAUUGGUUUAAGACCAAAGCACAGGGAAAUAAGACAUAAAUUUAAACAGGUUCUGAGAGUGGUACACAGACAGGGCAAAGGCAAAUGAGUCCUUGGCAAUCUAGAAAUACUGUGAAUGCUCCAGCUUCCCUGGAGGGGUGGGAAGCUUCUGAGAAACACCCCACACAGCUCUCCUGCUUCUCAAAAGACUGCCUGAAAAAUGGUGCCAAAGUUCUGCUUUCUCUUCUGGUGGGCUGAAAAGAGAUGCCAUACAUGGCUUUACUGCUCAGCUGAGGGUGAAAAGCCAUACUCAGUACUAUAAAAGUGAGUAUGCCCAGAAAACCUUCUGACAAGCAUUCAAAGUACUCAAACACCAGGUAGUGGGACUGACAAGAGAACUGAAAUUGUCACACUUUCUGUUUUAUUUCAGUCUUUCAAAGAAGAAGGCCACCUGCGUUGCUAGGGAUGUGCUUGAUUAGUCUCUCUCUGGACUAAAGGCCCAGGGCAGCCAUGGGGCAAGGUGGCAUUUGCACAAAGCAGAGGAGACACAUUAGAGCAGGAAAUACAAUGGCAUUCAUCCCAAGACAACAAGUAGCCUUGGCUGAAAACUGCAGAGUGUGGUUAAGAUACGCUCCUGUCUAGCCUGAGCUCCAAGGUGACCAGAGGAGUUGUAAACCUGGAGCCUUACUAAUGGCAGUGAAAGAAAAGUGGAAGAACUGAAAAAGCCUUUCUCCGCUCGGGUGUGAGGUGUUGCAUGGAUAAAGAGAGGCCUGGGGGACAGGCACCUGGGGACAGCAUUUGGGACCCAAGAGGGGGGUAAGUGCAUGAGUCACAGGGACACCCAAGCACGCCACACGUCUGUGGCACACACUGUAAUGUGCUAACCUCUGUAAAUAGUGGUAUCUGCAGUUAAAAAUUAAAGUGAAGGGUGUUUAGCCUUCCCAUGUA